rnacentral:rRNA from 1 species
UGGGGAAUUUUGGACAAUGGGCGCAAGCCUGAUCCAGCCAUGCCGCGUGCGGGAAGAAGGCCUUCGGGUUGUAAACCGCUUUUGUCAGGGAAGAAAUCUUCUGAGUUAAUACCUCGGGAGGAUGACGGUACCUGAAGAAUAAGCACCGGCUAACUACGUGCCAGCAGCCGCGGUAAUACGUAGGGUGCAAGCGUUAAUCGGAAUUACUGGGCGUAAAGCGUGCGCAGGCGGUUUUGUAAGACAGAGGUGAAAUCCCCGGGCUCAACCUGGGAACUGCUUUGUGACUGCAAGGCUUGAGUGCGGCAGAGGGGGAUGGAAUUCCGCGUGUAGCAGUGAAAUGCGUAGAUAUGCGGAGGAACACCGAUGGCGAAGGCAAUCCCCUGGGCCUGCACUGACGCUCAUGCACGAAAGCGUGGGGAGCAAACAGGAUUAGAUAGCCCUGGUAGUCCACGCCCUAAAACGAUGUCAACUGGUUGUUGGGAAGGUUCCUUCUCAGUAACGUAGCUAACGCGUGAAGUUGACCGCCUGGGGAGUACGGCCGC